AAUAACCUUAAACCCUAAAAUGAGACACCUACAAUAAUGUUUUUAUCUAAUUUACUUUAUAUCAUUUGCCACAGAUACCGCUCACCUUUCUUGUGUUCGCCAUUGGCACGACUCGCCGCCAUCUCUGUUUUAUUUUGCUUGAGGAUAGAAUAAGGCAUAGUUCAUAGUGAUGAGGUCAAGAAUUUUAAAGAUGGAUAAGUUGUCACAAGUGGUAUUUUAUUGUUAAGAGUUGCAAUCGUGAAAAUUUGGAGUUAUUUGUACAAUAAAGAGUAUGAGCAACUCAAAGGAGCAAUGAAUCAAAAUUAAAUGAAGCAUUUGAUUAUGUGGAAAAUGUGAUAUUGAUUUUCUCAGUCAAACGUACUCGACAUUUUCAGUGCUACAUACAUGUGAGGAGCAGGCUCGGGUCCAGAGGAGCAGGCUCGGGUCUAGAGUAGCAGGAUCGGGUCCAGAGGAGCAGGCUCGGGUCCAAAGGAGAAGGCUCGGGUCCAGAUCAGCAGGCUUGGGUCUAGACCUGCAGGCUCGGGUCCAGAGGAGCAGGCACGGGUCAAGAUCAGCAGGCUCGGGUCCAGAGCAGCAGGCUCGGGUCCAGAGCAGCAAACUCGGGUCCAGAGCAGCAGGCUCGUGUCCACAACAACAGGCUCGUGUCCACACCAGCAGGCUCGGGUCCCAGAGCUGCAGGCCCGGGUCCAGAGCUGCAGGCCCAGGUCCUAACCUGCAGGCCCGGGUCCUGAGCAGCAGGACUGGGUCCAGACCAGCAGGCUCAGGUCCAGACCAGCAGGACCGGGC